CCAGAUGGCUGGAUGACUGCGCUUUGGACCGCGAAAGCGCCAAAGGGAGGAAAGUCCGGGCUCCACGGGAAUACGGUGCCGGGUAACCCCCGGCGGGGGCGACCCCAGGGAAAGUGCCACAGAAAGUAUACCGCCCAGCUUUGUCUUCGGGCAUGCUGGGUAAGGGUGAAAGGGUGCGGUAAGAGCGCACCGCGCUGCCGGUAACGGUAGUGGCAGGGUAAACCCCACCGGGAGCAAGACCGAAUAGGGACCCAUGCAUUAGCAGGCGCGUUCUCGCGUCGGGUCCGGGUAGGUCGCGUGAGGCGUUCGGUAACGAGCGUCCCAGAUGAAUGGUCAUCACCUAUAGGGUCCGCCCUGUGGGUACAGAACCCGGCUUACAGGCCAUCUGGCACU
rnacentral:RNase_P_RNA from 1 species